GAUGAACGCUGGCGGCGUGCCUAAUACAUGCAAGUCGAGCGAACAGACGAUGAGCUUGCUCCUCUGACGUUAGCGGCUGACGGGUGAGUAACACGUGGAUAACCUACCUAUAAGACUGGGUUAACUUCGGGACACCGGAGCUAAUACCGGAUAAUAUAUUGAACCGCAUGGUUCAAUAGUGAACGACGGUUUUGCUGUCACUUAUAGAUGGAUCCGGGCGGCAGUAGCUAGGUGGUAAGGUAACGGCCUACCAAGGCAACGAUGCCAAACCGACCUGAGAGGGUGAUCGGCCACACUAGAACUGAGACACCGUCCAGACUCCUACGGGAGGCAGCAGUAGGGAAUCUUCCCCAAUGGGCGAGAACAUGACGGAGCAUCGCCGCGUGAGUCAUGAAGGUCUUCGGAUCGUAAAACUCUGUUAUUAGGGAAGAACAAAUGUGUAAGUGACUAUGCACGUCUUGACGGUACCUAAUCAGAAAGCCACGGCUAACUACGUG
rnacentral:rRNA from 1 species